GCAAGGGUAGCUCAAAUGGUAGAGCGGUGAAUUGAAAAUUCACAGGCAGUCGGUUCAAUACCGACCCCUUGCACCA
rnacentral:tRNA from 1 species